rnacentral:snRNA from 1 species
GGAUGUGAGGGUGAUCUGGCUGCGACAUCUGUCACCCCAUUGAUCUCCAGGGUUGAUUUCACUGGUCUGGCAGGCUAGGCGGGUGUCCCCUUCCUCCCUCACCGCUCUAAGUGCAUCCCUCCUGAAGCUAGAUGCUCUGGAAGAGGACGACCUUCCCCGAUAGAGGAGGAGCGUUCUUUUGUCAAGGGUAUACGAGUAGCUGCGCUCUCCUGCUAGAACCUCCAAACAAGCUCUCAAGGAAUGCAAACUUUGUUAACUAGAUGAUGUGACAAUUUAAAUGGUGACAAUUUAAAGUUAUCAGUAAGAUUAUUU